rnacentral:rRNA from 1 species
UACAGAGGUGGCAAGCGUUGUUCGGAAUUACUGGGCGUAAAGGGCGCGUAGGCGGUCUUCUAAGUCUUGUGUGAAAUCCCUCGGCUUAACUGGGGAACUGCACGGGAUACUGGGAGACUUGAGUUCGGGAGAGGGAAGCGGAAUUCCGGGUGUAGCGGUGAAAUGCGUAGAUAUCCGGAGGAACACCGGUGGCGAAGGCGGCUUCCUGGACCGACACUGACGCUGAGGCGCGAAAGCUAGGGGAGCGAACGGG